GCGUGUGAGUAUGCGGUGUGCUUUCAGGAGCCGGGGGGCAUUUCAAAGCAGCACUGAUUUUAUGCUGGGGAAAACAAAGAAUCCUAACAAAGAAUGUCAUUUGCUGAUUGCUGCCGGGGAUUAGAUGACUUCUAAGAACAUUAAAUGAGCAGAGUCUUUAUUUUUAAUGCUUGGGUUCGGCUGUCACAACUGUAUAGUGCUUAUACUAGAGGUUUUAGCUGAUACAGUUUAACAGUGAAAACCAGUACUGAAGUUCUGUAACACAGCCUUUAACAUCUAAAAAGCAGGAAGAGUUUGGGGCAGGGGAUUGUUUGGGUUUUUUUUUUACUUUGCAGAUAAUCACUCAUUUUUCUUUGACUUAUUAAAUCUUUUCCAUUUGGGACAGAUCCUCAGCUGGUUAACUUGGCAUACCGCCAGCAUCUUGUUCAUUGUGUUCAUAAUGUAUUUCAUGAAUAAAUCUCCUACUCUGUCUCAAAA